UACGGAGGGUGCGAGCGUUGUCCGGAAUCACUGGGCGUAAAGGGCGCGUAGGCGGCUGGGGAAGUCGGCGGUGAAAGCCCGGAGCUCAACUCCGGGUCGGCCGUCGAGACUCCUCGGCUCGAGCUCACUAGAGGCAGAUGGAAUUCCGGGUGUAGCGGUGGAAUGCGUAGAGAUCCGGAAGAACACCGGUGGCGAAGGCGGUCUGCUGGGGUGAGGCUGACGCUGAUGCGCGACAGCGUGGGUAGCAAACAGG
rnacentral:rRNA from 1 species